rnacentral:rRNA from 1 species
UACGUAGGGUGCAAGCGUUAAUCGGAAUUACUGGGCGUAAAGCGUGCGCAGGCGACUAUGCAAGACAGAUGUGAAAUCCCCGGGCUCAACCUGGGAAUGGCAUUUGGGACUGCAAGGCUGGAGUGCGGCAGAGGAGACUGGAAUUCCUGGUGUAGCAGUGAAAUGCGUAGAUAUCAGGAGGAAUACCGAUGGCGAAGGCAGGUCUCUGGGCUGACACUGACGCUCAUGCACGAAAGCGUGGGGAGCAAACGAGGAUA